GAUGAACGCUGGCGGCGUGCCUAAUACAUGCAAGUCGAGCGAACAGACGAGGAGCUUGCUCCUCUGACGUUAGCGGCGGACGGGUGUGUAACACGUGGAUCACCCACCUCUAAGACUGGGAUAACUUCGGGAAACCGGAGCUAAUACCGGAUAAUAUAUUGAACCGCAUGGUUCAAUAGUGAAAGCCGGUUUUGCUGUCACUGAUAGAUGGAUCCGCGCCGCAUUAGCUAGUUGGUUAGGUAACGGCGUACCAAGGCGACGAUGCGUAGCCGACCUGAGAGGGUGAUCGGCCACACUGGCACUGGGACACGGUCCAGACUCCUACUGGAGGCAGCAGUAGGGAAUCUUCCGCAAGGGGCGAAAGCCUGACGGAGCAACGCCGCGUGAGUGAUGAAGGUCUUCGGAUCGUAAAACUCUGUUAUUAGGGAAGAACAAAUGUGUAAGUAACUAUGCACGUCGUGACGGUACCUAAUCAGAAAGCCACGGCUAACUACGUG
rnacentral:rRNA from 1 species